AUGGGUUCAUACACUCCCACUUGGCAUCAUAAAGUUGUUGCUUUAUCAUUCAUUUAUGACACUUUACAGGUUAAAUUAAAGGGAGAAAACUAUGAAGAAUGGGCUCGUUCACUUAGAACGGAACUUCGAGCAAGAAAGAAAUUUGGUUUUGUUGAUGGAUCAAUCAGCAAAUCUGACGAGGAAUCUUCAGAUCUUGAAGAUUGGUGGACUAACAAUUCCUUGUUGGCCUCUUGGAUCAUGAACACAAUUGAACCUUCAUUGUGA